GACGAACGCUGGCGGCGUGCCUAAUACAUGCAAGUUGAGCGCUGAAGGUUGGUACUUGUACCAACUGGAUGAGCAGCGAACGGGUGAGUAACGCGUGGGGAAUCUGCCUUUGAGCGGGGGACAACAUUUGGAAACGAAUGCUAAUACCGCAUAAAAACUUUAAACACAAGUUUUAAGUUUGAAAGAUGCAAUUGCAUCACUCAAAGAUGAUCCCGCGUUGUAUUAGCUAGUUGGUGAGGUAAAGGCUCACUAAGGCGAUGAUACAUAGCCGACCUGAGAGGGUGAUCGGCCACAUUGGGACUGAGACACGGCACAAACUACUACGGGAGGCAGCAGUAGGGAAUCUUCGGCAAUGGACGAAAGUCUGACCGAGCAACGCCGCGUGAGUGAAGAAGGUUUUCGGAUCGUAAAACUCUGUUGGUAGAGAAGAACGUUGGUGAGAGUGGAAAGCUCAUCAAGUGACGGUAACUACCCAGAAAGGGACGGCUAACUACGUG
rnacentral:rRNA from 1 species